GAAGAAGUGCUCGUCCUCCUCGAAGAUGUCGUCGUCGAUUAUGCCCACCUGCAGACCAAGAGACGUAAAGGACGUUUCUGCCAGCUCCAUAAAUCAGCAAGUCGCUCAGUUAGCAUGGACACCUGCAAGGUCAAACAAGCUGGAAGCUGUCAAACAGGGAGGACCUGGAAACACUGCUUUUCAACCCAACCUGACGGGCGCAGGGCGACGAGGAUAAAAAUGGACGUCGGGCAUGAAAACUGAUGGUUUCACUCAUCUUCACUUCAUCUUCAUCUCACAUAGUGAAUCAUAGCGGAUGACAGGAAGUCUGACAUGCGUCUGAGAAGAACAGCUAAGAGUUUAUCACUCACACAAACACACAAUCUGUGGCACACGUGUGGACGGGUGUCAUUUGAAAGCAGACUUGAACGGACGACCUUCCGUUGCACAUUAGGUUCAGUCUGGGAUCCUGGUGAACGAUCGUCUCCUUCUUUGGAUGUGACUAAACAUCAGUGAGGAGUGACGGUGUGAAGGGAGUGGGUCUGACUCUGGACUCAGACUGGACUCUGAGCCACAUGCUCUGGUUUAAUUGGUUUCCCUGUUGCUCAUUUGUGGCGCAGCGAUGGAUGGACUCCACCAGUAUGGCGCUGAAAUGGAUGACACUGACCUUUGUGAUGUGCUCAGUGUUUCACCAUCUCUGUGCUCACGACAGACGGGCAGGUUUAUGGCGUCUGUUCCUGUGACGCCCCGCCCUCCUCAGGCCUCACAGUCCUUUUGAUGUGAGUCUGUGCAGAGACGCUCCGGCAGUCUUUCUGUGAGCUUUUAAUUCACACAGCAAAGGGGGCUUUAAAAAGUCAUAUUAUUGGUUUCUCUUUCAGUAAAAAAGUGUGCUGUUUGAUCCCAAGUCCAGAUGGAGAAAAAAGUUGGGUAACACUGACAAUCAAACGCAGUCAGCUCAGACUCGAUGGUUUUUGAAGGCAAAUCACAUGAUUUAAAUCUCAAGGCUGAGAGUUUCUUUCUUCCUGUAAAAUAUCUUCAGCUUCGAUUCAUUCAUUUUGUUCUGUACUCCCUCAUCAUUCAUUCCUUCAUGCUGUGAAAUAUAUCUGUUAUCUGUGUUCUCCUUCUCCAUACUGACCCAAUACUUUUAUAUAUAGUGUAUGAACAGUAAAAGAAAAAAAACUACAAAAAUUACAUCUGAAUUGAAUAUAUUGAAAUAUGUUGAUGAAUAUCUAGAAAUAGAAAAAUGAAAAGGCUAAAUAAAAUCAGUAAAAAGACUAAAAUGAAA